rnacentral:rRNA from 1 species
GAUGAACGCUGGCGGCGUGCCUAAUACAUGCAAGUCGAGCGAACGGACGAGAAGCUUGCUUCUCUGAUGUUAGCGGCGGACGGGUGAGUAACACGUGGAUAACCUACCUAUAAGACUGGGAUAACUUCGGGAAACCGGAGCUAAUACCGGAUAAUAUUUUGAACCGCAUGGUUCAAAAGUGAAAGACGGUCUUGCUGUCACUUAUGGAUGGAUCCGCGCUGCAUUAGCUAGUUGGUAAGGUAACGGCUUACCAAGGCAACGAUGCAUAGCCGACCUGAGAGGGUGAUCGGCCACACUGGAACUGAGACACGGUCCAGACUCCUACGGGAGGCAGCAGUAGGGAAUCUUCCGCAAUGGGCGAAAGCCUGACGGAGCAACGCCGCGUGAGUGACGAAGGUCUUCGGAUCGUAAAACUCUGUUAUUAGGGAAGAACAUAUGUGUAAGUAACUGUGCACAUCUUGACGGUACCUAAUCAGAAAGCCACGGCUAACUACGUG